rnacentral:rRNA from 1 species
UACGUAGGUGGCAAGCGUUGUCCGGAUUUACUGGGCGUAAAGAGCGCGCAGGCGGUCGUUCAAGUCGCGUGUGAAAGCCCCCGGCUCAACUGGGGAGGGUCACGCGAUACUGAUCGACUCGAAGGCAGGAGAGGGUAGUGGAAUUCCCGGUGUAGUGGUGAAAUGCGUAGAUAUCGGGAGGACACCAGUGGCGAAGGCGACUACCUGGCCUGUUCUUGACGCUGAGGCGCGAAAGCUAGGGGAGCAAACGGG